GAUGAACGCUGGCGGCGUGCCUAAUACAUGCGAGUCGAGCGAACAGACGAGGAGCUUGCUCCUCUGACGUUAGCGGCGGACGGGUGAGUAACACGUGGAUAACCUACCUAUAAGACUGGGAUAACUUCGGGAAACCGGAGCUAAUACCGGAUAAUAUAUUGAACCGCAUGGUUCAAUAGUGAAAGACGGUUUUGCUGUCACUUAUAGAUGGAUCCGCGCCGCAUUAGCUAGUUGGUAAGGUAACGGCUUACCAAGGCAACGAUGCGUAGCCGACCUGCGAGGGUGAUCGGCCACACUGGAACUGAGACACGGUCCAGACUCCUACGGGAGGCAGCAGUAGGGAAUCUUCCGCAAUGGGCGAAAGCCUGACGGAGCAACGCCGCGUGAGUGAUGAAGGUCUUCGGAUCGUAAAACUCUGUUAUUAGGGAAGAACAAAUGUGUAAGUAACUAUGCACGUCUUGACGGUACCUAAUCAGAAAGCCACGGCUAACUACGUG
rnacentral:rRNA from 1 species